CUCCCACUUCUGAGUGAGAACAUGCAGUGUUUGGUUUUCUGUCCUUGUGAUAGUUUGCUUAGAAUGAUGACAACCCAAUUUUCAAAAUGGGCAAAAGACUUGAAUAGACAUUUCUCCAAUUAAGAUAUAUACAAAUGGCCAAUAAGCACAUGAAAAGAUGCCCAAUAUCACUAGUCAUUAGGAAAAUGCAAAUCAAAGCUACCAUGUAAUACUUCAAUCUCAUUAGGAUGGCUAAUAUCAAAAGAAAAAUUGAGGAGUGCUGGUGGUAACGUGAAAUGGUGCAGCCAUUGUGGAAAGAAGUAUGGAAGUUCCUCAAAAGCACCUGAAAUUUUGCUGAUGGUUUCUAUCAAACACGUUUCCUGGAAAUGCUGGUGCCAUGGUAUUUCCCCAUCAUAACUGAAGUAACUUGAGGAAAAUUCUGACAAAGUUUCAGUGGUAUCCAGUAAUUGUUUGAAGGCAUCUUUUUCAGAGAUCCACAUAUGAAGAAGCCAAACCAUACUGCUAGAGACACACGGCUCAGCCAACAGUCAUCAGUCAGUCUCAAACAAGACUUUUGAGUGAAGCUGUCUUAAAAUAUCAAUCUCCAGGACACUCACCCAACAAGAUGCAGAAUGGAAGCAAGCGAAUGAACCUAGCCCAUAUUGCUAACCCAGAGAAUCAUGAAGAAGUAACAUAGUUGUUUUAGGUCACUGAUUUUCAUAGUAGUUGGUAUUGCAACAAUGCGUAACUAAUACAGCAUAUUAUUACUAAAUGUUUAAAUUGUACUUAAAUAUAAGCCAAAAUAAAUGGGUUAAUCCAAUUGUGUAGUUGAGUGCUUUCAUUUCAACCUUUAUUUUAAAAGCCUUUCAUAAUGAUUCUAACUUUUUUAAAAUCUGAAGUGUUUAUGAUGUUCUGAGUGUUUUGGAAGAG
rnacentral:lncRNA from 10 species